GCAAUGUGUCCAACUUAUCAUUUUUCUUCAAUUAGCUGAUUGCUACCUUUUGAGGUUUCACAGAGGAUCAACGUAAUGAACGAAGUCCUUACUUUUAUGUCUGAGGCAGGUGAGUAUUUCUGAGUCUGGUGGUCGUGUCACACAGUCAUCAUACACACUAUUUUAGAUGCAAAGAUCCUCUUUUCAACACCAGGAUGGGAACAGGGUCUCUCUGUGUGCACACAUCCCUGGUGUCUGGGUGUCCAAAUUUCCACCUCUUAUGAGGGCAUCAGUCAGAUUGGAUUAGGACCCACCCUAAUGACUCAUUUUAACUUAAUCACAUCUUCAAAGCCCUUAUCCCCCAAUACAGUCCCAUUCUGAGCUACUGAGGGUUAAAGCUUCAACACAUGAAUUGGAGGGGACACAGUUCGACCUGUAACAGGGCAAUGACAGAAUCAGGGAGACCAGUUACGAGGCUAAUGCCAUGAUCCAGGCAAGAGAUGAUGGUAGCUUGGACCAGAGUGAUAGGUGUGAAAGUGUGAGAAGUGGUCAGAUUCUGCAAAUAUCUUACAGGUGGGAUAGGAUUCAUUGAUAGAAUGGAUGUAGAGUGUGAAGAAGGAGGGGAGACAAGGAUGGCUACAGUUUUUUUUUUUUUUUUUUUUGUCAUGAGCAACUGGAAGCAUGGAGUUGACAUUUAUUGAGAUGGGAAAACUAUGAGAGGAGCAAAUUUGGAGGGGUCAGCUGGGAUGCCUCAGUUCUCCAUGUGGCCUCCCAACCUCCAGGACCUCUCUUCUCCAUGUGGCUUCUCCAGAAAGGUAGCCUGGACUUCUUUACUUGGUGGCUGGGCUAAAUAAAGAGGCUAAAGAGAAAGAGAGCAUACACCUAAAAUUUCAACCAAUGAAAUGUCCCAUGACUUCAUUACUUUUAAAAAAUGAUAUGAAGUCCAACUCCCAGCCCCUGUUCUAUCAGGCUUCAGGAAACUCCAUCUCAGUUAUUAUUACAAACCCUCCACCCUCCAGGUUCAGGAUUUGAAGCAGAGUAGUAACAUAAUCUGAUACUUUUUUUCUUUUUCUUUUUUUUUUUGAGACUUGCUCACUCUGUCACCCAGGCUGGAGUGCAGUGGUGUGAUCCUAGAUUACCAGCAAAAGCAGUAUGGCCUCCUUUAUCACUUCUAGUGGGCAUUUUAAUUACAUUCUUUCUUAUUUCUCUUUUUGUUUAGGAAUGAACAUAUGCAGUUUCCUACUAAGUUAUUUUAAAUCUUAUUCUCUGUCACCAUAAAAUUAAAUUGUAUUUCUGAGAAGUAUAUUCUUAUGAUGAGUUCUUUAUCUUUCAUGUUUUCCAUUCCCAUUUGGUGUUUCAGAACCUCAUGAUUAGCCAGCUAGUUCUUCUCCUUAUGAUGGUUAAUUUUACGGGUCAACUUGACUAGGCUAAGGGAUGCCCAAAUCGCUGGUAAAACAUUAUUUCUGUGUGUCUGUGAAGGUGUUUCUGGAAGAGACAAGCAUUUGAAUCAGUAGACUGAGUAAAACAAACUGCCCUCCCCAAUGUGGGCAGGAACCAUCCAGUCUGUUGAGGGUGCGGCUAGAACAAAAAAUCAGAGGAAGGGCUAAUUUUCUCUCUCUCCUCUUGAGCUGGGAUAUCCAUCAUCUCCUGUCCUCAGACAUCAGAGCUCCUGGUUCUUGAGGCUUCAAAAUCCAGGACUUAUACCAGCAGCACCUACACCUCCCUACCUCCCUUCCUAUGCCCUAACCCCAACGUAGACCUCUGACCUUGGACAGGGAGUUACGCUAUGAGUUCCCGUGUUUCUCAGGCCUGCGGACCAGACUGAAUUACACCACCAGCUUUCCUGGUCCUGCAGUUUACAGACUGCUUAUCAUAGAACCUCUCACCCUCCAUAAUCCCCAUCAUGAGCCAAUUCCCAAUGUAAAUCUCCUUUAUAUCUCUAUGAAUCCUUUUUGUUCUGUUUCUCUGGAGAACCCUGACUAAUAUCCCCUUCCUCUUUCUUCUUUUAUCUUCUAGUGAGGAUUGGAUUUGGUCGACUUCUGUCUUCAUUUUUGAGCCAAUUCCUCUUCAUAACCUUUGCUGUUCUUCACAAAGAAGGCCAUCAAAGGCUAAAUAAAGAUUUCUAUCAUAAAAAUCAGUCAUAUUUAGUCAUAAUCAUGUGUAUCUUAAGCACUUACCAUGUGUUAGGCACGAAGCUAAAAGUUUGUCUCAUUUAAUUCUCAAAAUGAAAUGGAUAUUUCUAUUAUCCCAUUUUACAGAAGAAGAAAAGCUCUGGGAAACUAAGCACACUUCCUAAGGUCUUAUGCUAGAGUGAGUGGCAGAGCCAGCUUUCAGGGCCAAGUGUCUGAUUCCGAGGUACACUCUUGAUUAGCCACCUCAUCUAUCAUUGGCCCAGGGGAUGGUUUUUCCAGGCUCGACUAGCCCAGUUUGAAAACAGAAGGACAUGGAGCUAUGUGAGCAUAGACCAUAGUUGCAUUCUUUGCACCUACAGGAAGUAAACAACAUGCCAAUCCAAGUCCUAAUGCAAAUAAGAGCCUAUUUGUUUUCUGAGUCAAUCCUUCAGGUAUUAUCUGUAACAGAUCUGUGGCUCCUCUGGUUAGACUGGGCCUUGAUUGAAUGUGAUGUUGCCGUCAGUCUAGAUUUGUGCUUACAUAUGUGACUGGUCCCCAGAUGCCAUACAACACUUAAAUGCAGCCCAGUAAUGGUUCCUGACCACCGCACCUCCACUCCAAGAACACAUAGCUGAUGCAGCUGCCGAGCUAUUUCCUAGCCUAAUUACUUUCUUUAUUUUCAUGCCUGGCCAUUGUUAAUGACAUUUGGCCAUCAAGCACACAGUAAAUAGAAUUAGGAUGUAUUGGAAAAAUAUGACUUCUGUACAGAAAGUUGAGAAUCCAGAAAUUGCCAUCUGGAUUUUAUGUCUUCUUGCACAAUAAGACAGCCUCUCAAGGCAGCACAUUUUGGGAGUAGCUUGGCAACAUUCAGCAGCAGCUUGAUUCCUCUUUCUUUAUCCUGCCUGCUCCCAGAUGCUGAGUCCUGCUCUGUAGCUUGAGUGGAGCAGGAGAUGGGUCCGUGGAGGAAAAACCUAAGGCUGUGUCUUCCUUGUUCUCUGGCUCUGACCACUGCCAGUCCAGCACAGUUC
rnacentral:lncRNA from 1 species